rnacentral:rRNA from 1 species
GGGUCAGUAGGUUGGUCGUGCCACCGGUACGUACUGGUCUCACUGAUUCCUCCUUCCUGAAGAACCGUAAUGCCAUUAAUUUGGUGUUGCGGGGAAACAGGACUGUUACUUUGAAAAAAUUAGAGUGUUUAAAGCAAGCUAACGCUUGAAUACAUUAGCAUGGAAUAAUGAGGUAGGACGAUCGAUCCUAUUUUGUUGGUCUCUAGGAUUGACGUA